GACCUGAUUGCACAGUGGUUAGUGUAUCUGCUCCACUUGGGGUAGAAGGAAUGUAAGCAGAAGAUCCCCGUUCGAUUCGGGGUCAGGUCA